UGGCGGACGGGUGAGUAACACGUGGGUAACCUGCCCCUAAGUGGGGGAUAACAUUUGGAAACAGAUGCUAAUACCGCAUAGAUCCAAGAACCGCAUGGUUCUUGGCUGAAAGAUGGCGUAAGCUAUCGCUUUUGGAUGGACCCGCGGCGUAUUAGCUAGUUGGUGAGGUAACGGCUCACCAAGGCGAUGAUACGUAGCCGAACUGAGAGGUUGAUCGGCCACAUUGGGACUGAGACACGGCCCAAACUCCUACGGGAGGCAGCAGUAGGGAAUCUUCCACAAUGGACGCAAGUCUGAUGGAGCAACGCCGCGUGAGUGAAGAAGGCUUUCGGGUCGUAAAACUCUGUUGUUGGAGAAGAAUGGUCGGCAGAGUAACUGUUGUCGGCGUGACGGUAUCCAACCAGAAAGCCACGGCUAACUACGUGCCAGCAGCCGCGGUAAUACGUAGGUGGCAAGCGUUAUCCGGAUUUAUUGGGCGUAAAGCGAGCGCAGGCGGUUUUUUAAGUCUGAUGUGAAAGCCCUCGGCUUAACCGAGGAAGCGCAUCGGAAACUGGGAAACUUGAGUGCAGAAGAGGACAGUGGAACUCCAUGUGUAGCGGUGAAAUGCGUAGAUAUAUGGAAGAACA
rnacentral:rRNA from 1 species